UCAAAAUACAUAACUUUAAUAGUCUCCAUUUGUAAUAAGUUAAAAAAAGAAAAUAAAAUUUGAAGAGUGUGACAUUAUUAAAGAAUGCAUUAUAGAGAGAAUGUUAAUCAUGUUAAUGUGAAAUGUGGUAUGGUGUUAUGGGAGAAGAAAUUAUAAUAGGGGGAAGAUUUUGAGAUGAGAUAAGAUAUAGAGACAUAUAAGAAAGAUAUAUAAAGAAAAGGGAAAGGAAAAGGAAAAGG
rnacentral:lncRNA from 1 species